rnacentral:rRNA from 1 species
CCUACGGGGGGCAGCAGUGGGGAAUCUUGCACAAUGGGGGAAACCCUGAUGCAGCGACGCCGCGUGAGUGAAGAAGUAAUUCGUUAUGUAAAGCUCUAUCAGCAGGGAAGAAAAUGACGGUACCUGAGUAAGAAGCCGCGGCUAACUCCGUGCCAGCAGCCGCGGUAAUGAGUAGGGGGCAAGCGUAAUCCGGAUUUAGUGGGUGUAAAGGGAGCGUAGACGGCAGUGCAAGUCUGGGGUGAAAGGCGGGGGCUCAACCCCCGGACUGCUCUGGAAACUGGACGGCUGGAGUGCAGGAGAGGUAAGUGGAAUUCCUAGUGUAGAGGUGAAAUGGGUGGAUAUGGGAGGAACACGAGUGGCGAAGGCGGCUUACUGGACUGUAACUGACGUUGAGGCUCGAAAGCGUGGGGAGCAAACAGGAUUAGAUACCCGUGUAGUC